UGCAAGUCGAGCGGGAAUAGGUAGCUUGCUACCGAUUUCUAGCGGCGGACGGGUGAGUAAUGCUUAGGAAUCUGCCUAUUAGUGGGGGACAACAUUUCGAAAGGGAUGCUAAUACCGCAUACGCCCUACGGGGGAAAGCAGGGGAUCUUCGGACCUUGCGCUAAUAGAUGAGCCUAAGUCAGAUUAGCUAGUUGGUGGGGUAAAGGCCUACCAAGGCGACGAUCUGUAGCGGGUCUGAGAGGAUGAUCCGCCACACUGGGACUGAGACACGGCCCAGACUCCUACGGGAGGCAGCAGUGGGGAAUAUUGGACAAUGGGGGGAACCCUGAUCCAGCCAUGCCGCGUGUGUGAAGAAGGCCUUUUGGUUGUAAAGCACUUUAAGCGAGGAGGAGGCUACUCUAGUUAAUACCUAGGGAUAGUGGACGUUACUCGCAGAAUAAGCACCGGCUAACUCUGUGCCAGCAGCCGCGGUAAUACAGAGGGUGCGAGCGUUAAUCGGAUUUACUGGGCGUAAAGCGUACGUAGGCGGCUUUUUAAGUCGGAUGUGAAAUCCCUGAGCUUAACUUAGGAAUUGCAUUCGAUACUGGGAAGCUAGAGUAUGGGAGAGGAUGGUAGAAUUCCAGGUGUAGCGGUGAAAUGCGUAGAGAUCUGGAGGAAUACCGAUGGCGAAGGCAGCCAUCUGGCCUAAUACUGACGCUGAGGUACGAAAGCAUGGGGAGCAAACAGGAUUAGAUACCCUGGUAGUCCAUGCCGUAAACGAUGUCUACUAGCCGUUGGGGC
rnacentral:rRNA from 3 species